UCGCAGUAUAGGCAUAUGUCAUUUUUUG
rnacentral:sRNA from 1 species